rnacentral:rRNA from 1 species
AGAGUUUGAUCAUGGCUCAGAACGAACGCUGGCGGCAGGCUUAACACAUGCAAGUCGAACGCACCGCAAGGUGAGUGGCAGACGGGUGAGUAACGCGUGGGAACCUACCCUUUGGUUCGGAAUAACUCAGGGAAACUUGAGCUAAUACCGGAUACGCCCUUCGGGGGAAAGAUUUAUCGCCAUAGGAUGGGCCCGCGUCGGAUUAGCUAGUUGGUAGGGUAAUGGCCUACCAAGGCAACGAUCCGUAGCUGGUCUGAGAGGAUGAUCAGCCACACUGGGACUGAGACACGGCCCAGACUCCUACGGGAGGCAGCAGUGGGGAAUAUUGGACAAUGGGCGAAAGCCUGAUCCAGCCAUGCCGCGUGAGUGAAGAAGGCCUUAGGGUUGUAAAGCUCUUUCAGCGGGGAAGAUAAUGACGGUACCCGCAGGAGAAGCCCCGGCUAACUUCGUGCCAGCAGCCGCGGUAAUACGAAGGGGGCUAGCGUUGUUCGGAAUUACUGGGCGUAAAGCGCGCGUAGGCGGGGUUACUAAGUCAGGGGUGAAAUGCCGAGGCUCAACCUCGGAACUGCCUUUGAUACUGGUAACCUGGAGUACGGAAGAGGUGAGUGGAAUUCCGAGUGUAGAGGUGAAAUUCGUAGAUAUUCGGAGGAACACCAGAAGCGAAGGCGGCUCACUGGUCCGAUACUGACGCUGAGGCGCGAAAGCGUGGGGAGCAAACAGGAUUAGAUACCCUAGUAGUCC